rnacentral:rRNA from 1 species
UGACCUCAAAUCAGGUAGGACUACCCGCUGAACUUAAGCAUAUCAAUAAGCGGAGGAAAAGAAACCAACCGGGAUUGCCUCAGUAACGGCGAGUGAAGCGGCAAAAGCUCAAAUUUGAAAUCUGCGUAAGCCGAGUUGUAAUUUGAAGAUGGCUACUUUGGUAAUGGCUCUUGUCUAUGUUCCUUGGAACAGGACGUCACAGAGGGUGAGAAUCCCGUGCGAUGAGAUGUCCAUUACCGUGUAAAGUGCUUUCGAAGA